rnacentral:ncRNA from 1 species
UGUCUUCGGGGCAGGGUUUGAUUCCCGCCUGGCGGUAAAGUCCGCGAGCAUUUGCACGAAUCGGUGAAAUUCCGAUACCAACGGUAAAGUCCGGAUGGAAGAAGACG